rfam:Fusarium oxysporum f. sp. cubense race 4 unplaced genomic scaffold scaffold111, whole genome shotgun sequence.
ACAUACGACCAUACCUGCAGGAAAAUACGGGAUCCCGUCCGCUCUCCCAUAGUCAAGCCUGUAAGGGGCGGAUCAGUAGUUGGGUCGGUGACGACCAGCGAAUCCCCGCUGUUGUAUGUU